ACUAUUUUGGCAGAUAAUUGUAAUAAAUUUAGAAUUUAUUAAUAUGUAAUUUAGUUUACAUAAAUAGUU
rnacentral:tRNA from 1 species